UACGGACGGUGCAAGCGUUAUCCGGAUUCACUGGGUUUAAAGGGUGCGUAGGCGGGCAGAUAAGUCAGUGGUGAAAUACCUGAGCUUAACUUGGGAACUGCCAUUGAUACUAUUUGUCUUGAAUGUCGUGGAGGUUAGCGGAAUAUGUCAUGUAGCGGUGAAAUGCUUAGAGAUGACAUAGAACACCUAUUGCGAAGGCAGCUAACUACGCGAAUAUUGACGCUGAGGCACGAAAGCGUGGGGAUCAAACAGG
rnacentral:rRNA from 1 species